GACGUAGGGGGCGAGCGUUGUCCGGAUUUAUUGGGCGUAAAGCGCGCGUAGGCGGCCCGUUAAGUCGGAUGUGAAAACCCGGGGCUCAACCCCGGGCCUGCAUUCGAUACUGGCGGGCUCGAGGCAGGCAGGGGAGAGUGGAAUUCCUGGUGUAGCGGUGAAAUGCGUAGAGAUCGAUAGGAACACCGGUGGCGAAGGCGGCAUCCUGGACCAACACUGACGCUGAGUGAGCGAAAGCCAGGGGAGCAAACGGG
rnacentral:rRNA from 1 species